rnacentral:rRNA from 1 species
UACGUAGGGUGCAAGCGUUUGUCCGGAAUUAUUGGGCGUAAAGAGCUCGUAGGCGGUUUGUUGCGUCGGCUGUGAAAUCCCGAGGCUCAACCUCGGGGUCUGCAGUCGAUACGAGCAAACUAGAGUGUUGCAGGGGGAGACUGGAAUUCCUGGUGUAGCGGUGAAAUGCGCAGAUAUCAGGAGGAACACCGGUGGCGAAGGCGGGUCUCUGGGCAACAACUGACGCUGGAGGAGCGAAAGCGUGGGGAGCGAACAGG